CGAUCUCCUGACCUCGCGAUCCACCUGCCUCGGCCUCCCAAAGUGCUGGGAUUACAGGCGUGAGCCACCGCGCCUGGCUGUGGUUCACUGUUAACUGAAAAGUCAUUAUGAAGCAUAUGACUGUCUAUGAAGUUACAAACAUACUCCUAGGAAUAGUCCAAAUCUCCCUGCAAGUGUGCAUCAAAGAAGAGUUCUAAUGUCUGGCGGCGAAGUUCAAGGGGAAAGAUGGAAAUAACUGAGAGGAAAUGAGUCAGCUGCUUCAUUUUCUCUUCAUGUCUACAGAAUAACAUUUUGAUCUGGGAGAUCAUAUCACUGUAAUAUCAGCUCCAAAUAUUAGCUGCUGACACAUAAAGGAUAUUGCGGCAGGGUGCGGUGGCUCAGCCUGUGAACCCAGCACUUUGGGAGGCCAAGGCGCGCGGAUCACCUGAGGUC